UUACGCUGUUAUCCCUAAGGUAAUUUAGUCUUAUAAUCAACAAAAAUGGAUCAAAUAUAUAUAAAUAAAUAUAAAAAAAUAAAAAGAGUUAAUUAAAUCUUUCCAUCACCCCAACAAAAUAAAUUUUCAAAUUAAAAAAAUAUCAUACAAAAAAAUAAAAAUAUAUAUAAACUCUAUAGGGUCUUCUCGUCCCAAAAAAAUAUUUAGGCAUUUUAACCUAAAAUUUAAAUUCAAUAAAUAAAUUAAAGACAGUUUACACCUCGUCAAACCAUUCAUUCCAGCCUACAAUUAAAAGACUAAUGAUUAUGCUACCUUUGCACGGUCAAAAUACCGCGGCCUUCAAUACUCAGUGGGCAGGCCAUACAUCAAAAUAUAUUCAAGAAGAGAUGUUUUUGAUAAACAGGCG
rnacentral:rRNA from 1 species